UAAUCCAGCACAUCUCCAGAGGCUCAACUAAUCCUCUGCUGACACCAAUGCACACACACACGGAGAGUCGAUCAGUCAAAUGCAUGUGACUGGCUUACGCAACGGCGACAAGGGUGUAUAUAUAUAUAUAUACAUAUAUAGGGACCAGCUUCAUCACAUGGGCAGGUGUAUCUGCAAAAAGGGAGUGAGGAGAGUGUGUCUUUUGGACACAGGAGACCUCCAAAAACUGGAGAAGCACCAAGGGAGCGUCACCAGAGGCUCUUGGUGUUGCCAGGCGGAGUCCUGAGGGCUUGUGUGAAGACAAGAAGAAGACAAAAAUGUUUUUCCGCAUCCCUCGAUUGACCCCUGGAUACAUUAGAUACCUCCAGACUCAGGCGGCCCAGACGGUGCUGCAGAGUCGGGAGGGCCCCGUGAUGCCUCGCCUGGCUUUCCUGCUGGGAUUCAUGGGGGUCGGCAUGUCCGGAUACAGCUCCCGCCAACUGAUGCUGCACUACAAGCCGGCCAGUCGCCUCUUCAGAUAAGACGGAUGACCUGGGACGCCCGCAGACGAUGGCAGUAAUGUCGGUUAGAUUUUUGAGUCAAAUUUGUCACCUUUAGGCCAGUAUGGCGUUGUGUUUUGUUGGCACUUUUUCUGAUUGAUAGGUACAUGAUAGGCACAUGUGAUUGUUAACCUUUGUUGCUAGGCAGAAUGUGUAGGGGAGCCCAAUUAAAAACACUGUGGCAGUGGCAACCUGCUGCCCCAUACAACAAGAAAGCAACAUUACGCACAUAUACACUUCAUGUUUUUUAACCACAGCGGCAUCUGCUGGAUCAGUUGUGUCACUACAUCAUUUUCCCCUCAAUGCAAAAUUGCACUUGUUUUGUCUUAGCGGUUACUUUGCACUUUAUUUGUACACAGAACCUGCACAUUAUGUUGUACAUAUCACUUUGAAGCUGAAUGAGAUUAGUAGAAAGUGACAGGAGAUGCUACCAGUUUCCACUGUGAGCUGGACUGGGCGUACUGGAUCUCACCCAGUUGCACACCAGUGUCACACCAGAUGAACGUAGUCAAAUGAGUUGGAAUUGUUUGUCCUGUGUUGUGUCCUCUUGGAGGCUUUGUGUAACUUUGACAGCAUGUGAAUGUAUCAGAGACAAAGAACGUAAAUUAGCAGUAAAGAUGGCAUCCCAGCGCUAUCAAAAUCGCAGUUUGAGUGCGGAAGCGAGAGAUUAGCAAGAAAGGAGGUCAUUGCGAGCGAAGUGAUACCACCGUCCCUUACAGAUCCUCUUAGGAAAUGAAACAUUUUUUUUUUAGAACAGAUUACAUGUGUUAAGGGUCACUGACCCUGAAAUGGAGACAAGCACUGCUUGUGACGCAGCAAAAAAAAAAUCAAUGUUGUGAUUGUUUUUGUUUAGAUUCUGUGGCUAUCUAACCAAUGAUUUUGUUCUGUGAAGACAUUUUGUGCAAAAACAAAGGCAGUUACCUGGAAAUUUCACAGAGCAAUCUUAAAACAGUCAUUAAUUGUUAAAACAAAUUAAAACAGUAAUCGCCCACAAUCCACAUUGCUUGAAAAAUGGUACAUUUUUCAAUAAUAUGCCCUUAAAAUGUUAAAAUUUCUGUGCAAUAUCGUUGACACGGCCAGGAGAAUAGGCACAAUUAAGACAUUUCUACAAUACUAAAACUUAAAAAAUGACAAAAGGAACUACUUGUAACAAGCUUUUUUCACAUGUUAACCUAAACUUGAAAUUGUGGCACUUUUAAGAAGGAUUGUAACAGCAUGAAUUGAAUAUUUCAACUGUUGCUGUGAUUUGGAUACAGCUGAGACCAAAAUGUCCCUGUGGUGUUUUUGGUAUGAUUGUACUGUACUCUUAUGAUAAGCUGUGUCUACACAUUGUAUUUUUCAAGGCAGAUAAGAAAUGUAAGAUAUUUCACUCUUCAUUCUGUAUCGGGAAGCAAAUGUACACAAAAAAAAUACAAAUUUUAUUUCUGUUCAGUCAAAACAACCUUUAAGAUUUGCACCUUUGCACAAUACCAUCAUCACAAGCAAAACAUGUACUGACUGUAUUUAAAUGAAUAAAUAAUAGUAUGAAACCGCA